UGAACGCUGGCGGCGUGCCUAAUACAUGCAAGUCGAGCGAACAGACGAGGAGCUUGCUCCUCUGACGUUAGCGGCGGACGGGUGAGUAACACGUGGAUAACCUACCUAUAAGACUGGGAUAACUUCGGGAAACCGGAGCUAAUACCGGAUAAUAUAUUGAACCGCAUGGUUCAAUAGUGAAAGACGGUUUUGCUGUGACUUAUAGAUGGAUCCGCGCCGCAUUAGCUAGUUGGUAAGGUAACGGCUUACCAAGGCAACGAUGCGUAGCCGACCUGAGAGGGUGAUCGGCCACACUGGAACUGAGACACGGUCCAGACUCCUACGGGAGGCAGCAGUAGGGAAUCUUCCGCAAUGGGCGAAAGCCUGACGGAGCAACGCCGCGUGAGUGAUGAAGGUCUUCGGAUCGUAAAACUCUGUUAUUAGGGAAGAACAAAUGUGUAAGUAACUAUGCAUGUCUUGACGGUACCUAAUCAGAAAGCCACGGCUAACUACGUG
rnacentral:rRNA from 1 species